AUUGAACGCUGGCGGCAGGCUUAACACAUGCAAGUCGAACGAUGAUUAUCUAGCUUGCUAGAUAUGAUUAGUGGCGGACGGGUGAGUAACAUUUAGGAAUCUGCCUAGUAGUGGGGGAUAGCUCGGGGAAACUCGAAUUAAUACCGCAUACGACCUACGGGUGAAAGGGGGCGCAAGCUCUUGCUAUUAGAUGAGCCUAAAUCAGAUUAGCUAGUUGGUGGGGUAAAGGCCCACCAAGGCGACGAUCUGUAACUGGUCUGAGAGGAUGAUCAGUCACACCGGAACUGAAACACGGUCCGGACUCCUACGGGAGGCAGCAGUGGGGAAUAUUGGACAAUGGGGGUAACCCUGAUCCAGCCAUGCCGCGUGUGUGAAGAAGGCCUUUUGGUUGUAAAGCACUUUAAGCAGGGAGGAGAGGCUAAUGGUUAAUACCCAUUAGAUUAGACGUUACCUGCAGAAUAAGCACCGGCUAACUCUGUGCCAGCAGCCGCGGUAAUACAGAGGGUGCGAGCGUUAAUCGGAAUUACUGGGCGUAAAGCGAGUGUAGGUGGCUCAUUAAGUCACAUGUGAAAUCCCCGGGCUUAACCUGGGAACUGCAUGUGAUACUGGUGGUGCUAGAAUAUGUGAGAGGGAAGUAGAAUUCCAGGUGUAGCGGUGAAAUGCGUAGAGAUCUGGAGGAAUACCGAUGGCGAAGGCAGCUUCCUGGCAUAAUAUUGACACUGAGAUUCGAAAGCGUGGGUAGCAAACAGGAUUAGAUACCCUGGUAGUCCACGCCGUAAACGAUGUCUACUAGCCGUUGGGGUCCUUGAGACUUUAGUGGCGCAGUUAACGCGAUAAGUAGACCGCCUGGGGAGUACGGCCGCAAGGUUAAAACUCAAAUGAAUUGACGGGGGCCCGCACAAGCGGUGGAGCAUGUGGUUUAAUUCGAUGCAACGCGAAGAACCUUACCUGGUCUUGACAUAGUGAGAAUCCUGCAGAGAUGCGGGAGUGCCUUCGGGAAUUCACAUACAGGUGCUGCAUGGCUGUCGUCAGCUCGUGUCGUGAGAUGUUGGGUUAAGUCCCGCAACGAGCGCAACCCUUUUCCUUAUUUGCCAGCGGGUUAAGCCGGGAACUUUAAGGAUACUGCCAGUGACAAACUGGAGGAAGGCGGGGACGACGUCAAGUCAUCAUGGCCCUUACGACCAGGGCUACACACGUGCUACAAUGGUAGGUACAGAGGGUUGCUACACAGCGAUGUGAUGCUAAUCUCAAAAAGCCUAUCGUAGUCCGGAUUGGAGUCUGCAACUCGACUCCAUGAAGUCGGAAUCGCUAGUAAUCGCAGAUCAGAAUGCUGCGGUGAAUACGUUCCCGGGCCU
rnacentral:rRNA from 1 species